rnacentral:rRNA from 1 species
CCUACGGGUGGCAGCAGUGAGGAAUAUUGGUCAAUGGACGAGAGUCUGAACCAGCCAAGUAGCGUGAAGGAUGACUGCCCUAUGGGUUGUAAACUUCUUUUAUAUGGGAAUAAAACGUUCCACGUGUGGGAUUUUGUAUGUACCAUAUGAAUAAGGAUCGGCUAACUCCGUGCCAGCAGCCGCGGUAAUACGGAGGAUCCGACCGUUAUCCGGAUUUAUUGGGUUUAAAGGGAGCGUAGGUGGAUUGUUAAGUCAGUUGUGAAAGUUUGCGGCUCAACCGUAAAAUUGCAGUUGAAACUGGCAGUCUUGAGGACAGUAGAGGUGGGCGGAAUUCGUGGGGUAGCGGUGAAAUGCUUAGAUAUCACGAAGAACUCCGAUUGCGAAGGCAGUUCACUGGACUGCAACUGACACUGAGGCUCGAAAGUGUGGGUAUCAAACAGGAUUAGAUACCCGAGUAGUC